CUCCCAGGGUUAGUCGGGACCUAAGGCGAGGCCGAAAGGCGUAGUCGAUGGACAUCAGGUUGAUAUUCCUGAACCCGCAUAUAUGUGACGUAGUGACAGAGAGGGUUAAUCAUACCGGUUAUUGGAUUCCGGACUAAGCGAGGUACCUUGUGUGUAGGCAAAUCCGCACACUUUAAGGGGAAGGCGUUAUGGGGACUGAAUGGCUUCGGCCUAGUAGGGAAGUUGAUGAUACCAGCUCUCAAGAAAAGCUGCUAACUUAAGUAUAUGUGGCCCGUACCGAGAACGGACACACGUGGUCAAGAUGAGUAAUCUGAGGUGAGCGAGAUAACUGUUGUUAAGGAACUCUGCAAAAUAACUUCGUAAGUUCGCAAGAAGAAGUACUCCAGCGAUGGAGGCGCAGUGAAGAGGCCCAGGUAACUGUUUACCAAAAACACAGCUCUAUGCCAAGCCGUAAGGCGAUGUAUAUGGGGUGAUGCCUGCCCAGUGCUGGAAGGUUAAAAGGGGGAGUGCAAGCUCUGAAUUGAAGCCCCAGUGAACGGCGGCCGUAACUAUAACGGUCCUAAGGUAGCGAAAUUCCUUGUCAGGUAAGUUCUGACGCGCACGAAUGGUAUAAUAAUCUGGGCGCUGUCUCGACAGCAGGCUCGGUGAAAUCUUAGUACCUGUGAAGAUGCAGGUUACCCGCGACUAGACGGAAAGACCCCAUGGAGCUUUACUGUAGCUUGAUAUUGAUAUUCGGUAACGGAUGUACAGGAUAGGUGGGAGACUGCGAAGCCGGGACGUUAGUUUCGGUGGAGUCAACGUUGGGAUACCACCCUUCGGUUGCUGGAUAUCUAACCUGCGGAUGUGUAAUCCGGGGGACAGUGUCUGGUGGUCAGUUUGACUGGGGCGGUCGCCUCCCAAAGAGUAACGGAGGCGCACAAAGGUUGGUUCAGAAUGGUUGGGAAUCAUUCGGUGAGUGUAAUGGCAAAAACCAGCUUGACUGCGAGACGUACAUGUCGAGCAGAGACGAAAGUCGGUCAUAGUGAACUGGCGGUUCCGAAUGGAAGGGCCGUCAAUCAACGGAUAAAAGUUACCCUGGGGAUAACAGGCUGAUAACAUCCAAGAGUACACAUCGACGAUGUUGUUUGGCACCUCGAUGUCGGCUCAUCGCAUCCUGGAGGUGGAGUCGCUUCCAAGGGUUGGGCUGUUCGCCCAUUAAAGCGGUACGUGAGCUGGGUUCAGAACGUCGUGAGACAGUUCGGUCCCUAUCUGUCGCGGGCGUUGGAAAUUUGCAGGGAGCUGUCCCUAGUACGAGAGGACCGGGAUGGACGCUCCAAUGGUGCACCAGUUGGUCUGCCAAGGCCAUAGCUGGGUAGCUAAGAGCGGAAGGGAUAAACGCUGAAAGCAUCUAAGCGUGAAGCCCCCCCUAAGAUGAGAUUUCCCAUUCGCAAGAAGUAAGACCCCUCAAAGAUGAUGAGGUUGAUAGGCCAGAGGUGUACGCACGGUGACGUGUUCAGCUGACUGGUACUAAUCGGUCGAGGACUUAACUUU
rnacentral:rRNA from 1 species